rnacentral:misc_RNA from 1 species
GUGAUUAAAUCGAGCGUGUCUUCAUUGACCGCUCACCCUUCUCACCAUCCACAUACACCCGUGCACUGUUUAGCCUGAGCCGGUUUUCCGGUCCAGGUUAUCAUUUCAUACAAACUCUAGUCUUAUGAAUGUAAACGUUUUAAUAACAUAAUA